UCCCUCUCAGGGUCGCACCUGGAGAGUUUCCAGAACCCUCCCAGUCUUGGCUACGGGAGGGAGAAUCAAGCAGAGGCCUACCCAUUCCAUUCCUGGCUUGCCCAGUGGCUAGCGAGUGGACGGAAAACUGCUACAAGU